UACGAAGGGGGCUAGCGUUGCUCGGAAUUACUGGGCGUAAAGCGCGUGUAGGCGGUUAUCCAAGUCGGGUGUGAAAGCCUUGAGCUCAACUCAAGAAAUGCACUCGGUACUGGGUGACUAGAGGACCGGAGAGGAUAGUGGAAUUCCCAGUGUAGUGGUGAAAUACGUAGAGAUUGGGAAGAACACCAGUGGCGAAGGCGGCUAUCUGGACGGUUUCUGACGCUAAGACGCGCAAGCGUGGGGAGCAAACAGG
rnacentral:rRNA from 1 species